UUAGUUGGCUUCAGGAUCAGAACAGGAGUCUGAGCCUGACCCAGCCUGGCCCAGCGUGGGUGUGACAGCGGCCCACUAGCCCCAGUCGGCACAGAUGUGGCUGUGAGCAGGCAGCUCUCCGCGCUGGGCGCAGGGAGGGCUGUGUCACCAUGUGGCUUUUGUCCCCUCUCCUAGUUUAGGAGGCGCCUGCUGUCCUUUACUGUUUGCAUGCUUUACCUAUGUUUCUACUGUUGUACGGCUUCUCUACAGACCCACUAAAUUCAAGACUUCAUUCCUGAGUCUGAGUCUAAGCUGGAAGCAGAAUGCACAGCCGUUAUCCCAGCACUCCGCAAGGUUGAGCCAAGUUUUAGCCCAUUCUGAGCAACUUAGCGAGAUUCUGUCUCAAAAUGAAAAACAGAAAAGAGUUGGAGAUGUAGCCGAGCAUGAAAGCCCUGGGUUCCAACUCAGCUAUACACUAACAAAAUCUGCCUUCCCCGCCGCUCGAGGCUCUCGGAUCACGGGUUUUGGCUCUGGUCCAGCUGAACGGGGCUCGAGACUCCGGAGCUGGGAUUUCCAGGGGUGUCCCUGAGACCGCCACGGCUUUUUAUCCUUUCCAUGGACUUCAGCUCUGGCUCCCAACAGCCCAUCGUCUCGGGGUUGGUAGAGGGUGGCCGGUCGGCUAAGGGUUCCAGACUUCAGACUCGCCGCCACCUCCUGGCACAGCUAAAGGAAACCUUUAGCCUUACCCAAAAGUGGGGGGGGGGGGAAACGCCACUAUAACGUCAUUUCCUGUUCAGCCCCUAGACUCGCGCUGGCUUCUGUGAAAUCUAGCACCGCCUGUGCUGCUAAGUGUUACUACGGGACCCCGUAGAGGUCCUACGGGUCCUCACUAGGACCAUUUCUCCUUUCAAAACCCCGCUCCGGCUUCCGGGCCUGUUUGAAUCUUUCCACAUGUACGCUGCGGUGAGGUGUGUUUUUCCCCGCAGUGCGGCUCCCCACGGAACGGCCUCAACUAAAAGGCCAAGUCUACCUCCAUCUGACUUCCGGCUUCGUGGCAUUACAGCAUGCCCCUGGAUUUCUACUGCUGCUGCGGCUUCUGCUUAGGAGCGGAGGCUGCUUACUGACCCCAGCUGGGAUUCCCUCCUGGCCGUCAUCCAUUCUUGCAGACUUUGCGACUUCUUUUUGCAUUUUCGAGUUUCCUGUAAUAUUAAUCGGUAUGAAUAUAGAUAGUGUGUGCUGGGUACAGUAUUUUUUUUUUUAAGCCUCGGUUUAUCCUUUCCCUGAACUCCAGAUAGAAGGUCCCUGGAUCGCAGGGUAGAAAGUGGGAGCUCCCAUCAGAUCCCUAUGUCUCUUGGCGCAGGUUCCCUCGGUUCUGAAUCUCCCUUUAUGGUGCUAACUAGUAGUUGAGGUCCAGGACAUGUUUGUGCACCACUUCGCAGUAGAUGUGCUGUAGAAAAUCAAACAGAAGGAAUACCAUAGCCCAUAUUAAGAAAAAAAAAGUUUGAAGGGAAAAUCCUCGUGGUGAAAGAUAAAUAUUUUCCUAAUAAAGUCAGGAAUAAGGUUUAAUUGUCAGCUGGCCAUCCUGGUGCACACUAGUAAUCCUAAUAUUCUGGGAGGCUGAGGUAGGAGAAUUGCAAUCUCGAACCCAGCCAGGGCAAUUCAGGAAAACCUUUUCUUAAAACCUUAAAAACUGAAAGUUAACAUAAAUAUGUAUCUGGUUGCUGAAUACUAUUCAAAUGAGUUUCGUUUGAAAUGAUUUAAAAAUAUAGUAAUUUGGGGAAAUAGCUCAGUAGUAGACCUUCAUAGGGUCACAAUAGAAUAUGAAUCUCAUUAAGUUUUCUAACUAAUCCUAACUGUGGGAAAUAGGCCAAGGAAUAGGGUAGACAAAGAGAGGAAAACCAGAUACAGGCACUGAAUGGCUCUGGGAGUUGUAUCAAGAGAGCAGAGAAGAGCUGACAGGACACAGAAAGCCAAAUGCACAGAUAAUAACCCACCUCCACCUCUACCUCCAAUAAAAUAUAAGGGAAGCAAAGAGAAGGGGCUAACUUUAAGGCAGUAUGUACUCACACCUGAGCAUAUUAUAUGAUAUACACAUAUAUUCAUAUACAUAUAUAGUACAACAGAUAUCCUUAUACUCCCUUGCUCACUCUAAAGUAACCAUUGAAUAAGGUACUCCCUUGCCAAGUAAUCAUCUUCCAAAGAUAGGGGAUUGAAAGGUAGGUCAAGGACAAGUAAACGGAAAGAAGCUGCACAUAGAUUACUAGCAGAGAGGAUAUUAGGCAGAAGUUCCUAGAAGCCAAUCUAGUUAUGGCAAGUUCCAGGUGUGGAGAAAGGGGUAGCUAGCUCUCCUCUCCUGUCCCUUCCUUUUCCUCUUUACAUAUAGUCUUCCUUUCCUUAAACUUUGCCCCUCUAAGUUUUUAUUGGGGCUGAGUUUAUGACCCCAGUGGAAUGUUUGGAUAACAGAGUAGUGUUGCUUGUCUGCAGGAUGCAACAUUUUUUGUUCAACUGGGAACCGGAUGAGACUUGUAUGAGCCUGAGGCCUUCUGUUUGGUCCCAUCCAGAGACAACAAAGUGCCUCUUUCAUUUUUCCAUAUACCUGCUGGAGGGGAUGUGGCUUGGCCUGCAGCCAGUGCCCACCUCCUUAUCUCCCUUUGCUCCCCAACCCCUGUGAACUGGGACAACUUGCUUCAGUCUCCUCCCUAGCUAUUACCACCAUUGCCAUUCUCCCUCCAGCUUGAGUGCAACCAGUCAGUAUGGUACCGUUGCUCCACGCUUGCCACCUCAGAUGGUACUGUUACCUUUUUGAAGAAGGGAGGGGGCAUUCUGGCCUGGCUAAGAUGAGGAAUGGAGGAAUCUGGGCCCCUUAUUUGCAUACCUAGUAUUAAUAGUAACCAAGAUUAAAGAUUUUUGGGCUAUUGAUUCUGGGAAUUCUUGAGUCUUUUCCUGUUGCAAGGUGUGGUCUGAAUAGGGGAUCUGUGUUCCAUAGACUUCCUUUUUUCUUUUUCUUUUUCUUUUUCUUUUCUUUUUUUUUUUUUUUUUUUUGUCUUUUUCCUUUUUAUCGGUACCAGGGAUCUAACUCACGACUGCUUGCUUGCAAGGCAGGCUCUUAUGCCGCUGAGUUAAAUCCCCAGCCCCUCCAUAGACUUUCUUGAUGUUUACCCUUGUCUCCUCUCUGCUGGACUCCAAUCUGUGCAAGUAAUUUGUGGCUUACUUUUGGACUGUGUACUUGUCUGAGAAAAUACUAGUCCUUAUAUUUUUGUUACACUAUUUGCUGCAAUAUAGUCUGUCAUGAUUGUUUUUCUUGUGAGUCUGCCUAGUGCUGUUAUUUUUAUCUUUAUUUAUUUAUUUUUUUGGUACCAGGGACUGAACUCACAAUCUCGUGCCUGACAUACAGGCACUCUGCUGCUGAGCUAUAUCCCUGUUCCCUAGUGUUGUUGUUUUUUUUUUUUUUUUUUUUUUUUAGAAAUACUGAGGGUGUGUUCUAUGGAAGAGCUGUGAUAUUUUGGUUAGCGCAGAUCUCUUAUCCCAGGUUGUAGCCAUAAAGUACUAAGUUCAAAAUUUGCCUGUUAAAGUUGCCCACCAAAUAGGAAAACCGCACAGUAUUCCAAAGAACUUGCCGGUAGGAUACCUCUUGGCUAACUGGGGCAAAUUGAAGGAGGGUGAUUUAAAGAAAAAAGAGGCUGAUCUCAUAUAACACAACUUGGCCUCAGUGUAAGUUGGGAAACCAAUUAUAUGACCCAAAGACUGAGUCGCUGAAUUAUAAUACGGUUCUCUAGCUAGGUCUAUUCUGUAAAGGGGAAGGGAAGUGUCAAGAUAUCCCUUACAUCCAGGUGUUUAUGAAACUAUUUGUAUGGCUGUGGUUUCUAAAUCCCCCAGCUUUAUCCCCAACCAGGAUCAAGGCAUCUUUAUCUCGGCCCUCUCCACCACUUGCCCCAUCAAGAUCUCAGAACUGAGAUCAGGAAACAAACAGAUUCUUCUGGAAUCUGUUUCCAUUAUGAAAUGUUAGGUGGAGAUGGAAGCAUUAUCAGGGUACAUGUUCCCUUCUCUGCAACAGACAUGACUCAGUGUAAAGAAAGUUUUGGCAGUUUUUCAAGAAUUUUGAUAAGUUUAGGCAUGAAUUCAUUAAACUGAUUGCAACUUUUGUUCUAGCGUGGAGAGACUUGAUUAUGGAAUUAACCAUUGCUGCACUCCUGAUGGGAAAGAAUGUGUUUUUACUACUAAAGUAGCUGAUACAUUGGCCUUAACUCCAGACCAUGAUGUUCAGAGGGCUGCAGAGGAAGAAGUUCCUGUGCAGACCCCAAAUGGUAUGGUGAAAAUUCUAUUCAUAAGAGAAUGGAAAAUUUUGUAACUUGUAUCUUGGAAGAAAUGGGGCAGUGUCUGGUUAAGCCUAUCUAUUAUGAUCAGGUUAAAGUGGUAACUCGAAGAGAAUCCUGCUUCUUUUCAGAUCUCCUGUCAGACGCCUUCUGAAAUAUACUCACACUGAUGCCGGGUCAGCAGGAGGGACAGCCUUUUUUUUUCUGGUCUUUUGAGAUAGGGUCUCACUUUGCAGUUCAGGCUGGUCUUGACUCACUUUGUAGUCUCAAACUUGCAGUGAUUUUCCUGCCUCCGUCUCCCAAGUCCUGGGAUUAGAAGGGAAAGCUUUGAUAGCAAUGGAUUUUAUGCUGCACUCUGAUCCAUAUAUGUGGAGGAAGUUAUGAAAACUUGAGGCAGUUCAAUGUGAUCCCAAUCAAAAUUCCAAUAGCAUAUCUCAUAGAAUUAGAGAAAACAAUCCUAAAAUUCAUCUGGAACUAAAAGAGACUUAGAAUAUCAAAGGCAAUCCUGGGCAACAAAGACAAAACAGGAGGCAUCACAAUCCCUGACUUGAAAUUGUACUAUAAUAAAGCUACUAUGAUAAAAACAGUGUGGUACUUGGAAAAAAAAAAAAACAGACCCAAAGAUCAAUGGAACAGAUUAGAAGAUGCAGAAACAACUCCAGACACAUUAAGCCACGAUUAAUGGCUCUGAACGUGGUGGAGCCCGGAAGACUUUGUACUGCCUCAGUCCAGGGUCUCCCUUUCCGGAGAAUCUGUUUGAUCCUAGGCGCAAAUAUGCACACUGGUUUCUUGCCAAGUAAGUUUUGGAAGGGGAAGGUGCCUGUUCAGUGUCUCCAAUAACUGGAACUAGGCAGAGGGAGCAAAGACAGAUAAGAGAUUAGACAAAAGAUGCAACUUUUGGCUGCUUUAAUUCAACUGCCACCUCAGGGUAACUCAGAAUCCCUUCCAUCAAAAUUGGAAGACAUCUCUGUCAGUCUGCAAGGUCUUGGGUAACCAUUGGCUUGGCAGCUAAAGAAAAAUAUCAGUCUUGUUAUGGAUACCAGGACAUUUUUUUAAAAACCAAAAUCCUGUCUAGGAAUGUUUUGUUUGUUCAGUUUACAUAGUCUACGUAAUAUGUUGUUCACCAAGUUCUGUAGGCCUUACUUUGAGCCCCCGUUACCUAAAUAUAUGUGAGCACAUAAGUUGCAAGUGUACACCAAGACACUUUGAGGCCUUUUUUGGAAAUGAUUGGCUGUGCCCGAGAUGCCUGAGUUUGUCUGACCUGGGAAACUCUUACUGUUACCUUUGUCUCUCUUUGUCACAUCAUCAGGUAGCAACAGAAGCCCUUAACCCAAACACUGAGAGAUGUCUCUUGGUUGGAACCCUCUGUCUCCUGGUACUUAUUUAUAUACAGUGACAAUAGGAUAUUUUGUUUGUCUGAGAGUUGUGACUACAAUUUUCUCCUGAUGAGGAAAGCCACUAAGUUUUCUUUGGAAGUACUGAUUGCUAAGUAGGGUCAAGAUGUCUUAAUGACAAAUGGAUGUCAUUAGAUGACCAGAGGCCAGUUGUUGCCAUUGGCUCUUCUGUUGAUAAUGGAGGAUAUGGAAGGAAAUGGAUUUUGUUUUGAUGAUAAAGCUAUAGAAAGAGAUGCCCACUAUAGGUUUAGAGAAUUAAAUGAGUGAGAUGCAAGGAAACAUGGCUAUAAAGGGAUAAUAUAUUCAUAUAAGAAGGAAUUUUGAGGCUGCAUGUGGUGGUACAUGCCUAUAAUCCCACCACUCAGAGGCUGAGGCAGGAGAGUUGCCAAAAGUUCAAGGCCAGCCUGGGAUACAUAGUGAAUUCAAAGUUAGCCUGCUCUACAAAGUGAGACCUUGUCUCAAAAAAAGAAAAAAAAAAAGAGUGGGGGGAAGGAAGAUAGGAAGAAAGAAUUUUGAAUGAUGAAAUUUUACCAGAAGAGUAAAGUAAGCGGCACAGGAUUUGCAAGGGAUGAAGCUUAUGAAGGGAAACUGCAUGUACAUGUAGAAAAGUUGGCUAUAGCUUGAGCUCAGUAAAAAAGCAGCCCAGACAAUGGACCCAGGAAGGUUGCUGGCUAUGGUUUUGGACCAACCUCUGCAGCAGCGUCCCCAGUCCUCUGAUUGAGAGAAGAGGGUCUCAGACCCCAGGGUAUCAAGAUCUCUUCAGUGUGUUCCCAUAACCAGCUGUGUGGAUCCACCUCUGCCACAUCCCACACAGCUCUUGAUGUUCCCAGGAUGGGGACAGUUAGAGGACGGAGAAAAAAAAAAACAAGAGUCAGAAUACAGAAAACAGACCAGAUGGAGCCCUCUCUCCUGAUUGGAAAUAAGCAAGGAAGAAGGAGGAGGAGGAGAAGGAGAAGAAGCAAAGGAAUGGCUGCAGUGCAUUUAUUUAUACACUUGGGAGUUGUCAGGUGAAACCUCUCCAUCUAAGAGAUUAUCCACAUGGCUUGUCUCAGGUGCCCAGUGUUCUUGAGCUUAGAGCAGCUUACCCAUGUGACUUGCCUCAGGAGCUCUGUGUUCUUGAGGCUGGCCUUGCUCCAGCUCUACAUGUGAUUGGUCUCCAGCUUCAGCUGCUCCCCACAUCUCCUCCAUUUCUGUUUUAUAGUUAUAAGUGAUGGGUAGUAACUUGAGGUUGAAGGAGCUGUGUUUGGGGGACUCUGUAGCAGAUCUUCUCCUCAGAUCUUUUCCAUUCUAGAUGAACUUGUUUGAUUUGGGUUAAAUAUUCCCAGUCUAAGACUUUAAAUCUCUGUAUUUAGCAAUUUAAUCCUAUACAUCACAUUAUCCUGAAACAGUGAUCAAUUACUUGUGUAGUUGGCAAUUGUUUUAUACUUCUUAUGGUUAUAAUUUUCUGCUGGGUGUUCAAUACCAAAUUAAGGUGUGAUCUGUGUUAAUAAAUUUUUGUUUUUUAUGAAAACGUU